rnacentral:rRNA from 1 species
CAUCCUACGGGAGGCAGCAGUCGGGAAUAUUGCGCAAUGGAGGAAACUCUGACGCAGUGACGCCGCGUGCAGGAAGAAGGUUUUCGGAUUGUAAACUGCUUUAGACAGGGAAGAAAAAAGACAGUACCUGUAGAAUAAGCUCCGGCUAACUACGUGCCAGCAGCCGCGGUAAUACGUAGGUGGCAAGCGUUGUCCGGAUUUACUGGGUGUAAAGGGCGUGCAGCCGGAGAGACAAGUCAGAUGUGAAAUCCACGGGCUCAACCCGUGAACUGCAUUUGAAACUGUUUCCCUUGAGUGUCGGAGAG